CAGCUGCGGAAACAUUCAGCCCGAGAGUGUACACAUGCAGACAUGAGACGCACACGGCCGUCCACACAAGCCAUCGUCAGCGGCAGUACCGUGCCAGCUCGCUCCUUAGUCACCUAACCACCCGCACUGUCACAUGGUUUCCAGCCUCCUGUGCAGGACUCCAGGGCCAGCUGAGGCAGGCCUGCCGACCCCGAGGCCAGGACCACCCGGGGCCAAGCCAGAAAACCCCGUGAUGCUGCCUGCGAUCACUUGGCCUUCCCUCUCGCGCUCAGCCCUGGCCCAGGUUCCCACGGCCUCCCUGAGCCCUCCCCCAGCCAGCGGGGCCAGGCUCCCACAGAGAAGGGAGGUCUAGGGGCUCUGCGCCCAGCUCAGGUCCUUCCCUCCGCACACAUUAAGGCCCACUCUGGGGCCAGGCAGAAAGGGAGACCAUCCCCAGGGCUGUGUCUGCAUCCCGGUGACCAAUUUAGGGUUUCUCAGCGAGAACCACCUGACCUGUGAUGAAUAGCUCCCUCUUGUCUGACAGAGAGCUUUCCCUCUCAGAACACCCUUCCCUCGCAAAGCGAGACCCCAGAGGGAGCCGGUGUCCUGUGUGGUGGUUCUUUUUCACACAUCUAGAGCACACGGGGCGGGGGAUGGUGGUGGUGCUGGUGUGUGAUUAAAACCUCCACACUCUCCCUUCCUCAAAUAAACCGACUUCUCUGCUCAUCCCGGUCCUUGAAAACAGAAGCACUAUUCAAAAAUAAAAAGGAAAAAAGAA